CAGAUAUUAGUUUAUAAAAAUUUUAAUUUUGGAGAUUAAAGAUAAGAUGUUUCUUAUAUCUGA
rnacentral:tRNA from 1 species